UUCCAUUCUUUCUGUUUGGCCUGUCCAUAGCUUCUGCAAAUGCUUGCCGGUAAAAUUGUUUGAAGAAAAAGAGUUAACGACUUUUUCAAUGAUAGCCUCCCAGUAGUUGCCAGGUGCAACAAAAGUUGAAGUUUCAAAUUGAAGCUUCCACUUUUGCAAUAUGAAACUGGCACCUUGGGAGAGUUUGGAUUGUUGCAAGUGAAACUGGCACCUUGGGAGAGUUUGGAUUGUUGCAAGUGCAAUUUAGGCACGAAGGGAGUUUAGAAAGAUCCAAAGUCAUCUUUCGUUUCAAUCCCCUACAGCAAUCCUAGUGCUCCCAACCUGUGCAUGAAUUUCUUUGUGUCUAUUUCAUUUGAUCAGCUUCAUAACUGUCUUCUGAUGCAACA
rnacentral:lncRNA from 1 species